ensembl:snRNA Gm23232 predicted gene, 23232
AUCCUUUAGUUGACAGCAUAUAUACCAUAAUUGGAUCAAUGCAGAGAUUAGCAUGGCCCUGUAGAAGGAUGACAUGAAAAUUUGGGGGAGAGGUAAUGAAUAUGA